GCAAUCGCUAAUCAUCAGCUCAUAAUGCAUAAUUCAUUAUUCGGAUGAGGCAUUCAAUCGAGUAAUAAAAAAGCAGACACUUUGACCAACCUCGAUUAGUAACAACUAGAGGGCUAGUCAGUUACAACGGUUCAUUGGGAUCCCAUCGCUCUCUGGAGAGGUGGUGAAAAUUCCUGCUUUUUUUACCCGGAAUCUUCAGUUGUGGUGUUCUAAAGCAGAGUCUCAGUUCGUUCAUAAGGAAAUCUCUUCUGAUGCGACCAAAUACUACCAUUUGGUGGCCGUCUUGGACCAGAUUAUGGCAAAACGAGCUGUGGCUUAAGCUAGCGAGCGUCCUGUGCAGCUUUUUGUUAUUAAGACGAGCCAAGGACGUCAUCCAUGGAUCUUGGAAGAAGCAACAUAGAAAAGUUCCAUAGAUGUCACAAUGAAUGGAAUUUGGCUGAUAAUGAAGCCCAAGAUAGGUUUCCAAGCUUUGAAGAGUGUUGGGCUAUGGAGACCUUGCCUUGUGGUGGAACUGCUCUGGGGAGGGGAAACUCUUAUCUUUCAUUUUUACAGGAUCCAGACAAACGUCUCCAUCUCAAUUUGCUUCAUGUGCAAGACAAACUUUGGCUUUUGAAAUGUAUGGAGCCGAUUUCCCCAGUGAUGGAGAGAAUCUGGACUCUAGGUACUGAUGGGAACAAAUAAAUAAUCACGGGAGAUUGCGACUCAGUCUUGAGCUUUUUCGAUGUCCCAACUGACGUCUCCAAACAGGCCUUAAGGAUGCGGUUGGUGCCUUUGCUGAUCCUCGAUACGAGGUAUUUGAAGAAAGGUUCAGGAAGACUGAUGACGCCUGUUUGGAUGGCAUUGGGAAUGGCAACCCAGGAGUGUGUGUGACGGUGAAGACGUCUGAUUCCGAAUUUGUGGAAGUGGGAUCAUGAAAUAGUUAUGUACAUGUAAGAAGGGAAGAAAAUCUCUCAAGGCAAUGACGUGUUGGUCGUCACAUAAUGUCAUUUCUAGUUAGUGAUCAAUCGGGCUUAGAAUGGGUUGUGACGAUCAAGGAUUUCAUCAUAUAUCUAUGGUUUAUGAAAUUCAUUUGCACUCCAUCAGAGUAAGACGUGAGUAGUUCUCAUUGUAAC